UGUAGCUCUAAACUCUACUUCACAAUGGUGGAUGAGACAGAAGAUAUUGAUGUCUUCCAAGACCACACAGAAACCAGAUCUUGCACUAGGGAGGAAGGAGGAUUCUUGGAUCCCAAAUGAAGCUGUCCUUCACUUCUUCAUUGGGACUCCAAAGUCAAACUUGAAAAGGGAUGUUGGUGUUGACCUAAAUUUUAGUGUCCUGCAGAAGAAAUUCAGAAUCAAAUUUAUACAACCGAAGAAGAAAAUCGAGAUAGAUGGU
rnacentral:lncRNA from 1 species